GGUUAAGCGACUAAGCGUACACGGUGGAUGCCCUGGCAGUCAGAGGCGAUGAAGGACGUGCUAAUCUGCGAAAAGCGUCGGUAAGGUGAUAUGAACCGUUAUAACCGGCGAUGUCCGAAUGGGGAAACCCAGUGCAAUUCGUUGCACUAUCGUUAACUGAAUACAUAGGUUAACGAGGCGAACCGGGGGAACUGAAACAUCUAAGUACCCCGAGGAAAAGAAAUCAACCGAGAUUCCCCCAGUAGCGGCGAGCGAACGGGGAGCAGCCCAGAGUCUGAAUCAGCUUGUGUGUUAGUGGAACGGUCUGGAAAGUCCGACGGUACAGGGUGAUAGUCCCGUACACCAAAAUGCACAGGCUGUGAACUCGAAGAGUAGGGCGGGACACGUGGUAUCCUGUCUGAAUAUGGGGGGACCAUCCUCCAAGGCUAAAUACUCCUGACUGACCGAUAGUGAACCAGUACCGUGAGGGAAAGGCGAAAAGAACCCCGGCGAGGGGAGUGAAAAAGAACCUGAAACCGUGUACGUACAAGCAGUGGGAGCACCUUCGGGUGUGACUGCGUACCUUUUGUAUAAUGGGUCAGCGACUUAUAUUCUGUAGCAAGGUUAACCGUAUAGGGGAGCCGCAGGGAAACCGAGUCUUAACUGGGCGUUAAGUUGCAGGGUAUAGACCCGAAACCCGGUGAUCUAGCCAUGGGCAGGUUGAAGGUUGGGUAACACUAACUGGAGGACCGAACCGACUAAUGUUGAAAAAUUAGCGGAUGACUUGUGGCUGGGGGUGAAAGGCCAAUCAAACCGGGAGAUAGCUGGUUCUCCCCGAAAGCUAUUUAGGUAGCGCCUCGUGAACUCAUCUUCGGGGGUAGAGCACUGUUUCGGCUAGGGGGUCAUCCCGACUUACCAACCCGAUGCAAACUACGAAUACCGAAGAAUGUUAUCACGGGAGACACACGGCGGGUGCUAACGUCCGUCGUGAAGAGGGAAACAACCCAGACCGCCAGCUAAGGUCCCAAAGUCAUGGUUAAGUGGGAAACGAUGUGGGAAGGCACAGACAGCCAGGAUGUUGGCUUAGAAGCAGCCAUCAUUUAAAGAAAGCGUAAUAGCUCACUGGUCGAGUCGGCCUGCGCGGAAGAUGUAACGGGGCUAAACCAUGCACCGAAGCUGCGGCAGCGACACUAUGUGUUGUUGGGUAGGGGAGCGUUCUGUAAGCCUGCGAAGGUGUGCUGUGAGGCAUGCUGGAGGUAUCAGAAGUGCGAAUGCUGACAUAAGUAACGAUAAAGCGGGUGAAAAGCCCGCUCGCCGGAAGACCAAGGGUUCCUGUCCAACGUUAAUCGGGGCAGGGUGAGUCGACCCCUAAGGCGAGGCCGAAAGGCGUAGUCGAUGGGAAACAGGUUAAUAUUCCUGUACUUGGUGUUACUGCGAAGGGGGACGGAGAAGGCUAUGUUAGCCGGGCGACGGUUGUCCCGGUUUAAGCAUGUAGGCUGGUUAUCCAGGCAAAUCCGGAUAAUCAAGGCUGAGGUGUGAUGACGAGGCACUACGGUGCUGAAGUAACAAAUGCCCUGCUUCCAGGAAAAGCCUCUAAGCAUCAGGUAACAUCAAAUCGUACCCCAAACCGACACAGGUGGUCAGGUAGAGAAUACCAAGGCGCUUGAGAGAACUCGGGUGAAGGAACUAGGCAAAAUGGUGCCGUAACUUCGGGAGAAGGCACGCUGGUGUGUAGGUGAAGCCCCUGCGGGUGGAGCUGAGACCAGUCGAAGAUACCAGCUGGCUGCAACUGUUUAUUAAAAACACAGCACUGUGCAAACACGAAAGUGGACGUAUACGGUGUGACGCCUGCCCGGUGCCGGAAGGUUAAUUGAUGGGGUUAUCCGUAAGGAGAAGCUCUUGAUCGAAGCCCCGGUAAACGGCGGCCGUAACUAUAACGGUCCUAAGGUAGCGAAAUUCCUUGUCGGGUAAGUUCCGACCUGCACGAAUGGCGUAAUGAUGGCCAGGCUGUCUCCACCCGAGACUCAGUGAAAUUGAACUCGCUGUGAAGAUGCAGUGUACCCGCGGCAAGACGGAAAGACCCCGUGAACCUUUACUAUAGCUUGACACUGAACAUUGAGCCUUGAUGUGUAGGAUAGGUGGGAGGCUUUGAAGCGUGGACGCCAGUCUGCGUGGAGCCAACCUUGAAAUACCACCCUUUAAUGUUUGAUGUUCUAACGUUGGCCCCUUACCGGGGUUGCGGACAGUGUCUGGUGGGUAGUUUGACUGGGGCGGUCUCCUCCCAAAGCGUAACGGAGGAGCACGAAGGUUAGCUAAUCCUGGUCGGACAUCAGGAGGUUAGUGCAAUGGCAUAAGCUAGCUUGACUGCGAGCGUGACGGCGCGAGCAGGUGCGAAAGCAGGUCAUAGUGAUCCGGUGGUUCUGAAUGGAAGGGCCAUCGCUCAACGGAUAAAAGGUACUCCGGGGAUAACAGGCUGAUACCGCCCAAGAGUUCAUAUCGACGGCGGUGUUUGGCACCUCGAUGUCGGCUCAUCACAUCCUGGGGCUGAAGUAGGUCCCAAGGGUAUGGCUGUUCGCCAUUUAAAGUGGUACGCGAGCUGGGUUUAGAACGUCGUGAGACAGUUCGGUCCCUAUCUGCCGUGGGCGCUGGAGAAUUGAGGGGGCUGCUCCUAGUACGAGAGGACCGGAGUGGACGCAUCACUGGUGUUCGGGUUGUCAUGCCAAUGGCACUGCCCGGUAGCUAAAUGCGGAAGAGAUAAGUGCUGAAAGCAUCUAAGCACGAAACUUGCCCCGAGAUGAGUUCUCCCUGAGACUUUAAGUCUCCUGAAGGAACGUUGAAGACGACGACGUUGAUAGGCCGGGUGUGUAAGCGCAGCGAUGCGUUGAGCUAACCGGUACUAAUGAACCGUGAGGCUUAACCUU
rnacentral:rRNA from 1 species